UCCUCAGUAGCUCAGCGGUAGAGCGGUCGGCUGUUAACCGAUUGGUCGCAGGUUCGAAUCCUGCCUGGGGAG
rnacentral:tRNA from 3 species